rnacentral:rRNA from 1 species
GAUGAACGCUGGCGGCGUGCCUAAUACAUGCAAGUCGAGCGAACAGACCCUGCGCUUGCUCCUCUGACGUUAGCGGCGCACGGGUGAGUCACACGUGGAUCCCCCACCUAUCUGACUGGGAUCACUUCGGGAAACCGGCGCUAAUACCGGAUAAUAUAUUGCACCGCAUUGUUCAAUAGUGAAAGACGGUUUUGCUGUCUCUUAUCGCUGGAUCCGCGCCGCAUUAGCUAGUUGGUACGGUAACGGCUUACCAAGGCAACGAUGCGUAGCCGACCUGAGAGGGGGGUAGGCGGCCUGGGAGGGUGAACAGCGACCAGGGGCCUGAGAGAGGCAGCAGUAGGGAACGGGCGGCAAUGGGCGAAAGCAUGACGGAGCAACGCCACGUGAGUGAUGAAAGUCUUGGGAGCGUAAAGCUCGGUUAUGGGGGAAAAACAAAUGUGGAAGGAACUAUGCACGGCGUGACGGUAACUAAUCAGAAAGCAACGGCUAACUACGUG